GAAAUAGAAAGAUGCACAGGACUGAGGUGGGCUACAGUAACAUUUAGAAAUUAAAAUAGAAAAUAAGGUUAAACAACAACAACAACACAAUCAAUUCUACAUACGAAGGGACUAGACCCACUCCCAACUGAUGUUUGCUGCCUUGACUAUGACAACUCCAAAGUACAGAGCAGAUUUCUAGGUGGUGAAGGCAGCCAAAGACCUAGAGAGCCGGCAUUCCAGCCAAAGAACGUCGGCUUGUGGCGUAAAAACAAAACCCAAAUCAACCAACACCAGGUUUAAGAUAACCGGGAAAGAGCUUGAUACUCUCAACGCAAGCCUCACUCAGAUGCGCCUUGAAAGAUGUCUGGAGGAAAAGCUUAAAAACUUUCUCCAAAGGGCAACGUUCAACCACUUUUACCAUCUGGACUAGAAAAGGCACAAACAAGCAAAAUAUGAGGCAGGGUAAAUGCAAGCCUAAGACUGUAAAAGGAGAGUGAGGCGACGGGUUUGCAAGGUCAGCAAGUCGCUGAGUGGCUAAAUCAUGUGAACCUGAAGCAGAGCAGUUUUGCGCACAGGGAAAAAAAUUUUUUUAAAAAAAAGCAUAGUUAAGGAGCUUUUGGUCUUUUUUCUCUUCCAUUGUUGUUUUCCUCAGAAAUACCGCUUCAAUCAAAGUUUUGACAAUUAUGAAACAUGUCAGCUGAUAGCGAGAAUUCAUCAAAUGUGCCAUAAAUGACAAGAAAUGAGAAGCCAAAUCCUGAAAUUGGAUGGGCUUCAAAAGUCCCCGACAAUCACCACCAUCAAUCAUCCAGGCACAUCAAUCUUUGGCUGGAGGAAGUUUUGCAGAGAGCACGCGUGCAAGACAAAAAGCACAUGCAGCAAAGGGGUGCCAGACUCUAAAUGGAAAAGGAUGGCAUUCUAUUGUCAGGACUGUCUCUUAAGUUACCCAGAGGUUGCAAUUAUGCCGAGGCUAAGGUUGCAAUUAUGCCGAGGCUAAGCGAUGGGGACCAUUCAUCCCAUCACCAUAGUGAAAAUACAUGGAGGAGCUCCUGUUGUGGCUCAGCCUGUGGGUUAAGAACCCAACACAGUGUCCCUGAGGAUGCAGGUUCAAUCCCGGGCCUCGCUCAGUGGGUUAAGGAUCCAGAUCCAGUGUUGCCACAGCGUAGGACAUAAUGCUUGUCAUUUCUUCCUGAUCUAGAACACUUAGAGGAAUAAAGAGAAAACAAAAAUGUACUUCAAAACCAAGAUGUCCCCCCAGAAGACAAAGGAGUGAUUCUGGAUGUAACUACUGGGAACUCAUGUCAAACACACACCCAGUAUCAAAAAUCCAAACUCACAGUAGUCCCAGUUUUUCGGUGCAAUAUUGAAAACUGUAUCCUCAUCAGGAACACAAUUUCCUUCCCCGCAGAGCUAUGGGAAUGAUUGUCCUUAGAAUCUAAAUUGAACAUUUCUCUAAAUUCCUAAAUAGUCUGUAUUUGGACUUCUUUGGAAUUUAAAAGAAAAAAAUUGACAUGCUGGCUUCUUUAGAAACUUCCCACUCUUUCAGCAUGAGAACUUAAAUUUCAUGAAUUCAAGGGAUGCAGUUCCAUGACCUCUGUUGUGACCUGUGGAGAUAACUAACUCAUCCCUCUCCACUACCGUGAUCUGAGUGUGGGCCCUUAGCUCAUUAAACCGAUGAACAAAAACACUUAAGCAGCCAUGACCCUUUUUUUUGUGUGUGUGGUCUUUUUGUCUUUUCUAGGGCCACACCCGAGGCACAUAGAGGUUCCCA
rnacentral:lncRNA from 1 species